UAGGAAAUCUGCCUGGUAGUGGGGGACAACGUCUCGAAAGGGACGCUAAUACCGCAUACGUCCUACGGGAGAAAGCAGGGGACCUUCGGGCCUUGCGCUAUCAGAUGAGCCUAGGUCGGAUUAGCUAGUUGGUGAGGUAAUGGCUCACCAAGGCGACGAUCCGUAACUGGUCUGAGAGGAUGAUCAGUCACACUGGAACUGAGACACGGUCCAGACUCCUACGGGAGGCAGCAGUGGGGAAUAUUGGACAAUGGGCGAAAGCCUGAUCCAGCCAUGCCGCGUGUGUGAAGAAGGUCUUCGGAUUGUAAAGCACUUUAAGUUGGGAGGAAGGGUUGUAGAUUAAUACUCUGCAAUUUUGACGUUACCGACAGAAUAAGCACCGGCUAACUCUGUGCCAGCAGCCGCGGUAAUACAGAGGGUGCAAGCGUUAAUCGGAAUUACUGGGCGUAAAGCGCGCGUAGGUGGUUUGUUAAGUUGGAUGUGAAAGCCCCGGGCUCAACCUGGGAACUGCAUUCAAAACUGACAAGCUAGAGUAUGGUAGAGGGUGGUGGAAUUUCCUGUGUAGCGGUGAAAUGCGUAGAUAUAGGAAGGAACACCAGUGGCGAAGGCGACCACCUGGACUGAUACUGACACUGAGGUGCGAAAGCGUGGGGAGCAAACAGGAUUAGAUACCCUGGUAGUCCACGCCGUAAACGAUGUCAACUAGGCGUUGGGAGCCUUGAGCUCUUAGUGGCGCAGCUUACGCCUGGAUCGAAGGUUAGGUGGACGGGA
rnacentral:rRNA from 1 species